GGACGUCGAAGGUGGGGCUGAUGACUGGGGUGAAGUCGUAACAAGGUAGCCGUACCGGAAGGUGCGGCUGGAUCACCUCCUAACAGGGAAGACAAACAACGAUUUUGAUGUCUGAGUACUUAAUUCUUAGGCCGAAAUCCUGUCACCUUAGGUCGAUCGGUACCUCAAUUUUGAAGUCAAGAAUGCAUAGCGAUAUGAAUUGCUUGAUGGAAAUUUUCAGUUCCUAAACUUUGUCUAGGUCACAUCCCAUAAGGGUUGAGUCUUCCUGGGCCAUUAGCUCAGGUGGUUAGAGCGCACCCCUGAUAAGGGUGAGGUCCCUGGUUCAAGUCCAGGAUGGCCCAUUCGGUGUUGGGGGUUUAGCUCAGUUGGUAGAGCGCCUGCUUUGCAAGCAGGAUGUCAGGAGUUCGAGUCUCCUAACCUCCACUGAUCGAACUCAAUCUCCAUCUUCUGAAUGAUGGAAGGUGAACUCGAAUGUGAUGUGAUUUAGAUGUGUCCGCUGGCAUGACCCCAGCUUCCUGUCAUUCCGAAAUGACGUGAGUUAUCACAAUUUUUUGGUUGAUAAGAUGCUGGGCUCGAACUGUUUAAUCAGUUUGAUGUUUAGCAGAACCUUGACAACUGCAUAGGAAAAAGUCUGUAAGAAUAAAGCAUCUCUCAUGGAUGCAUCAUUCUUUUUAGGAUGAUGUCAAUUCUUGAGCAAGAGCCGAGACUCCAUAACGUUCUUCUAAUUGUGUCGAGCAAUUGGGAGUUUGAUGAUUGAUUCAGCAAUGAAUCGUUCAGAAUCUGUUUCAACAACAGCAAGCGUUUUGGAGAUUAAUGGUCAAGCUACAAAGAGCUCACGGC
rnacentral:misc_RNA from 1 species